UUGCUAUUAGAUGAGCCUAUAUUAGAUUAGCUAGUUGGUGGAGUAAUAGCCUACCAAGGCAAUGAUCUAUAGCUGAUCUGAGAGGAUGAUCAGCCACACUGGAACUGAGAUACGGUCCAGACUCCUACGGGAGGCAGCAGUGGGGAAUAUUGGACAAUGGGCGAAAGCCUGAUCCAGCCAUGCCGCAUGAGUGAAGAAGGCCUUUGGGUUGUAAAGCUCUUUUAGUGAGGAAGAUAAUGACGGUACUCACAGAAGAAGUCCUGGCUAACUCCGUGCCAGCAGCCGCGGUAAUACGGAGAGGGCUAGCGUUAUUCGGAAUUAUUGGGCGUAAAGGGCGCGUAGGCUGAUUAAUAAGUUAAAAGUGAAAUCCCGAGGCUUAACCUUGGAAUUGCUUUUAAAACUAUUAAUCUAGAGAUUGAAAGAGGAUAGAGGAAUUCCUGAUGUAGAGGUAAAAUUCGUAAAUAUUAGGAGGAACACCAGUGGCGAAGGCGUCUAUCUGGUUCAAAUCUGACGCUGAAGCGCGAAGGCGUGGGGAGCAAACAGGAUUAGAUACCCUGGUAGUCCACGCUGUAAACGAUGAAUGUUAAAUAUGGGAAGUUUACUUU
rnacentral:rRNA from 1 species